rnacentral:misc_RNA from 1 species
AUUUUCUGUUAGUUAAAAAAAAAAUUUUUAUAUUCUGAUGGAUGCUUUGCUGCGAUCAAAACUGUGUUUUCCUUAUUUUGCUUGGAUAGUUAAGGUAACGAGAGACGAAUAAUUGUAGAAUAAUGGUUUUUGUUACAUUCUGUUCAUUAUCAUAUACUUGGCUCUCUGGUUGUUAUUGUUAAGCAGCAUUUUGCCAAUCAUUCAAAAGGGAUAAUUAUUAAAAUAGCAAAAGAUAUAUUAGAACAAGUCAGUUUUGACCAAGGUUCUAAUGUUACAAUUCCAACUCUAAAUUUUAAAAAAAGAAAAAAAAUUCCAAUUUUAUUCCUAAUAGAAAAUUUUGGAUCCAUAUUUUCACUAUUUCUAUGGAAUUUUUGACAGUCAAAUAUUUUAAGAAGGAAACUAUAUAUUAUUUGGAUAACUUAAAUUCAAA